rnacentral:lncRNA from 1 species
CAUCACUUAUGAGCAUAUUUUUAUUAAAAUUAUUUUUUUAAACAAAAAAAGUGAGACUAGCAUUGUUUUUGUAUUUUUGCUAAUGUCUUUUACAUCUGAUUUAAUAGAAGACACUGGAUUCUUAAGUCGGUGUCUUCAUUAGAUAUGCUGCUUUGGUUGAAUAUAAAGAAAAACUUUCACAUAGACUUGCGGUUCAUGAACCCCCUGAAAGGGUUUCAGGUACCCCCUUGUCAGGAAUCCUCAGAUGAUACUUUGAGAACCACUGCAACAAACUAUGUUGCUUCUCAGUUAAAAAGUCUAUAUUAUUAACCAUUGAAUUAGUAUUAGAACUGACAAUUCUUUCCAUCUCCCAAGAUUUUUUUUUUUUUCUUUGAGACGGAGUUUCGCUCUUGUUGCCCAGGCUGGAGUGCAAUGGCGCGAUCUCGGCUGACUGCAACCUCCGCCUCCCAGGUUCAAGGGAUUCUCCUCCUCAGCCUCCUGAGUAGCUCAGAUUACAGGCGCACACCACCACGCCUGGCUAAUUUUUUUAUUUUUAGUAGAGACGGGGUUUCACCAUGUUGGUCAGGCUGAUCUCAAACUCCUCACCUUGUAAUCGCCUGAUUAUAGGCAUGAGCCACCAUACCCAGCCAAUAUCAAUUUUUAACUUGAGUUCUUAAAUUGUCCCUUUGCCAGCCAAGAUUAUAUAUAUCUUUAUUUUUCUAAGCUAAGAAGAGAAAGCAACAUGUCAUACACCAGGCUUCCCUAACCCUUGAGCUGCGGAGUGGAUGCCAGUCCAUGGCCUGCUAGGAACCCGGCUGUACAGCAAGAGCUGCCCACUGCUGUCACACAGGAGAAAGAAGGGCUG